CAGCGGGACCCUGGGGAAGGGGCCGUCUCAUGGUGAUGACAUCUAAAGUGCGAGACACCAAUGAAACCUGACAGAUGCUGAGAGUAAAAAGUGAACACAAGUUUGUGUGUGAAAGAGGGAACAUGAGGAAAAAAGACAGCUAAAUUAGGGCAGGAUUCUUCUCUCCCUUCCAGAAACAACAUGUACUUGCAACAGUUGACACCCCUUCUGUUCAAACCCAUGGCAGAAACCCAUUAUCAUGCUGUAAAUACUCCAGAAGAGGCUGAUGCCUGCACAAUCCAAGUGGAAGUAACAGCUUUUCCUGCAAGGAGACUGAACACAUACUUUGGGAUUAGAGACAUAACAGCAGAUGACAACAGCAGGUUUAUUUUUUCAGUUCAGUGGCUUCCUGUACAAACACACCAUCCGCUAUUAUCCUGUCAGUAAAAAUAGAAAUGUAUAUCUGAAACAGAACUUUUACCCUUUUUUAUCUCAGAAGCCUAGGUGAAUCAAACAAAUCAGUGAAUAAUAUAUAAUCUGUAAGGAAAUGGCACAAUCAAAAUAAUCUUCCAUUUGUAAGGACCUGGAUUUUGUACCAGCAGCAGUAACUUUGAUGUCAGGCUGCAGAACGGAUCAUUUCAGGUGGCUGCAUUGCAUCAGCGAGAUGUUUGAACACGUGACUGCCUGAGAUACGUGUUGAGGAUGUGUUGCUCCACGUUCAUGAGCUGCAUUGAAAUUCUGGGUUGCAUGAUGGAAGGAUGAGAGGGCAACACUUUCAGGUUUUAGUGUCCAUUUGUGAAGGCUCAGAAAGCAUCGUUUGAUGCCAUUAAAGCAACAGUUCACUGAAAAAAUUUUUUUACUCACCAUCAUGUCUCUCCAAACCUGUAUAUGCUCUUAUUUUUCUGUGGAAAGGAAAAUCUUCAUGCAGCUCUUUGCAAUACUUCAAGGUGUAGAUAAGGUAGGCUCAGACCAUUUGGUCUUAAUUUCAUGCGAAAUAUUUGAGUUCAUAUUGACACUUUUAUGGAAGCUUAUUUCGGCCACAACAUAAAAAUAUAAAAAUGCUAUCUGAGAAUUUUUAUCUCACAAUUUAGACUUUUUUUUUCUCACGAUACUGUUGAUAUCUAACAAUUCAAACAUUUUUCUCACAUUUCUGAGCUAAAAUCUGAAUUGUGAGAUAUAAAGUCAGAAUUACAAGAUACAAACUCAGAAUUAUGAAAUAUAAAACUCAGAAUUGCAAAACGUGGAGAAUUCUAUAAACUCAGAACUGUGGGGGAAAAAAAAUCUGAUUUUCAAGAUAUAAACUCAAAAUGUAAAAAUAAUAAACUCAGAAUUCCAAGGAAUAAUGUCUGAAAU
ensembl:lncRNA